rnacentral:misc_RNA from 1 species
CUCUCGCUCGUCAUCGGGUCUUCCGCACGGCGCUCGCUCGCUUCUUCAGUGACCUGCUGGCCUUCCUGGGAACCUGCUCGAUCCCCCUGGCUCUCGAUUCUUUCCAGCGUGACGACCCAGUCGCGGUGUCUUUAUCAUGAGGACGUGUGUGUUUAUUCUACUGCUCCUUGCCAUCCUGCAGUUAAGUGAGGCCCGACUGUGUUACAACUGCACUGGCGACUGCGUGACCGACAGCGAGUGCAAAGGCUCGUGUACCACAUCUGUGCCAGAAUUAGGGGACGGCCACGAGAUCCGAAGCUGCCAGAACGAGACCGUGGAGGCUCGGUGCAUCUCGGAAAUCAUCUUCGACAAGCGAUAUAAGACCUGCUAUUGCAACACCGAACGCUGCAACUCCUCGUCCGUCGCCUCCGUUAGCGCCUUCCUCUUCGCGUUGGUGGCUCUCCUUCUGCGGGAGCUGAGGUAGAAAGAGAAAGAGGAAGAGAGAGAGAGAGACACUAUCCGGCCGGGGCGAGCGCGGUCCAGCGAGAGAGGAGAGUGAAACUUUUUCCAGAAUAAGUUUCGAGCGACUGGGUGUCAUUCCUUCGGGUCGAGUGGUCUCCAAAGCCCGCGACUCGACGAACCUUCAACAUGACAGUUCCUUGCACGAUAUCCACGUGAAGCUGAAAGAGAUUCUGCGCGCUUUGUCUUGUUUUCGUUUCAGGAAUCAUCGAGAUCUGCUGACAAAACUGAAUCUGUAUUUUACGUGGUCGACACCCAUUACUCUUUGACAAAGUUCACUGCGUGUUUUCCAUCGAUAUGCAGUCAACAAUAGCGUGCAAAACAGCCACAACAAAUCUCAUAAUGCUGUUUCAAAACAAGGUGGAUUUCUCAUUUGAUCUUCACCGUCUGAUCCAGAGCCUGUUUUUUUUACUGGCUUGAAAAUGACAAUUUUAUUUUUUCUUUAUAUCUUUUUUUUUCCUAUAAGAAAUGUUGAGACGCAGAAAUCAAAUGAAGACUUUAUAGAGUAGCAGCAACCAUUAACGCCACGUAAAUAAAGCAGAACAAAAUAAAUGAAACAGACAAAGAUUUCGAUAACUUGUAAAAGGUAUAUAGACAUCAAAAUUUCAUUAGCAAUAUUGCACUAUUUAGCCUCAUAGUGAGCGGCUUCAGAUACCUUCCCACACUGCAUGUCACUCCUAAAUGUAGGUUAGAAAGUUGAUAUGGACAUACGCGUAAUGUAUUUUUUGCAUUAGAUUAGCUAAAAAGACGACUGAAAGUUCAUGCAUUUCAUAAAAUACUCUUUUUAUCGUAUUUUAUAUAUAUUUACAUAUACAUACAGUAUAGCAAGCACACCGUAAGUAUGUCUGACAUUAGAGUCACCAUUGUUUAUGCAGAAGAAAAUUUUUAAAAAAUGUUGGAUGAUGGAAAUAUUUUUAAAAAGAAAAAGCCGUAAAUAUAUCAUGUGAUUUCAGAUACAACUGUGAAUGUGUGGAUAGCAAGGUGUUUCGCAGGAAAGGGCAAAAUAUAACUUUGCAGACUUAAUCAUACUACAGCGUAUGCUUAAUCGCCUAUCACUUUAUUUUUAUGGAUCUCGUGUACACUUUUCUCUAAUUCCAUUAUGGACAUCGGGAAAAAAGAAUAAAAGAAAGUUCAUCAGUCUUGUUGAAUAUACGUGUAUCAUUUUGAAAAUCAUCACGCAGUGCGCACAGUAGUUAAGACUUCACGUUUACCCAAGAAGUGAAAUAUAUCGACAGCCUUUUGUGCCCUCGUUCUGACGGUGCCCCCCAAUAACUAAUGAACGACCUGUUACAACGCAAGAGAAUCACCUUGCUAGGUGCGAAAUAACAAACUACUACUUACUCUCGCUUGUAGCUCCCCGGGAAGCAUGGGUAGGCCUUGUAAAUUGUGGCAAAUGUAGAAAAAGGAUAUGAAACAGUGAAUGACUCAACAACGCAAAAUACGUCGUUUGCGUUGAUGUUACUUAUCUUCAACAGAAUUAUACAUCAAGCAUAACGACGGUGAAAUGAUUCAGUCUCAUUCCUAACUAUUUUCUACACAGGCCAAUGUUUUACCAGGCUUAUCCAUGACCACUUCUUACCACGGUUAAUUCUUGCUCCUUAGUAAGCGAACCUCUUACAGUGAGACCUCAGAUAUUAAUCCCUCGGUGUAUUUGUGUACUCUGCCUCUCCCUUUAGAAUUUCGAGCUCACAGCAGAGAUGACUUGUUCUUGCAUUAGACUUCAUAUCUAAACUUUGAAGGUAUCGACACGUCCUCAUACCGAUCGAACUCUCUGGUCGUUUACCCUCCUGUUCCCCUGAUCAUUAAUCUAUCCGUAAUCUUGUCACUUCUGCAUUAGUGUCAACUCAACUACACUGCCUGACCCCUCCGUUGACGAUUUUCCCCGUGUUAGCAAGAUCACAUUCUCAAAGAUCCUGCCAUAGCUAAUCUCAAGUGCUGUACCUCUCUUUGUUAAUAUUGAUACCCUUUUCUUGUCAGGUUUUCGAAGAGUUACUCGCUAUGAUGGGCUAUUACUUAACUAGUCAAAGGUGCCACAUAUCUAUAUAUACAUACAUACAUGCGUACAUUGUUACAUAUAUAUGUAUACAUAUAUACAUAUAUAUAUAUAUAUAUAUAUAUAUAUAUAUAUAUAUAUAUAUAUAUUGUAUCAUGCAAAUAUAUAAAACGCUAAGUCAGAAAGUGUGCAAGCUAUCAACAAUAUAACUUAGUGUUAAUGCAAUACCUUUCCUCAACCCCACUACGAUAAAAAUCAUAAUGAUAAAACAGAAAUAUGUCUAUGGCAUAAAAGGCUAAUGAAUACCUUCCUUAGCCAAGUAAGCAGUCCACAAGUCUGACCCGAGGAAGAACAAGAACGAAGUGCGUGUUCGUGGGUCAACCUAGGCUUUAUCGUGGAGCUGCUCGUAAACCAUUAAAACGACCCAUAAUUCCUCCCUUUUAUCCCAUAAUAGCUAAUACCACACGCUCGAAUAGUUUUAAAUGAACACUUUUUUCUCAUAUAUUUUUAUCUUUAGAUAUAGUUAUCAUACUAUUUUUCUGCAGUGUUCGGAAGCGAACAUGAAAACCGUCAGGUGGCGACUGUCUCCUUAGUCACUAUACAUGAAAAUAUAAAUCCGGCUGAUUGUCUCACGGUGAAACACUUUAUCGUGUGUUACUCUCAGCAGGUUUUUAGCUUAUUCCAUGGUCGUGCAUAUGGUGUAGGUACGUGACUCAUCAUAUGUCCGUGCUUAGCUUCCUUUCCAUGUAUACAAGAAUGUAGGCAAGGUCUAGCCUAGAUUUUUUUUUUUUUUUUUUUUUGGUUCAUUUCCAUGUGUGGCUUUUGGUGAAAAAAGUAAGCCUACUUAUAUAUUGACUGUGCUGUUUUAACGUACUACGAAACCGUCAAUAUAGUUCAGAUUACCUGCUGAAAUGAGUCUUAAAAAUAAUGGUAAACCGUAAAGACUGGUACUUUAUCGAUGAACUGAGCACGCGGUAUUUUCUUAUUCUCUGACUUGGUGACCUCGAUAUUUAUAGAAUAUAUCAAUUCAGCAUAUUUUAUAUUGUCAUUACUUUUUAACCAUCCAAGCUAAGGCGCUAAGUGUCCGGGUAGGUAGUGUUACGUCUGUGUGCAUGCACGGUAAACGGUACAAAUCUGCAGUUAUGUAGGAUGUAGUCUGUGUGUUGUUUUUAUACAUAAAGACUGGUUAUCAAAAUAUAUUUCACUUGUCUCUGUGACUUAACUGCAGGUAAGAAACCAGUGAAUUUAUGAGAUAUCCUUUUAACAAGACAGCAAGGGACCAUUUAUGCUAUAGAUUCAUCUCUCCAUUGCAAAACACUGGGAUUAUGACAAUGAAAAAGACUCUCUCUUUACUGUCUUACUUUAGCCGAAGCAUAAGACCCCUUUUUUCAAUACUUGAUCUAAAUUCAGUUUCCCUCAUUGUCAUAACCCGCCUGGCGGAACAUCGGUUGUAGAGACCAAAAGGAUCAAGAAGGUUAACAUAGUCAUUUAAAAAACACGAAAUUGAAAGGGAUUUUCCCCCACUCCCUAGCUUCGCAUACUUGUCCGCUUGCGAUUAUCCUUUGGAAUUUAUUGUUAUGCGUGUAUGCGAUGGUCGGGUGGAGGCGUCGCGGGCCCGCCGAGGGUCGCCGCCCACACCAGGGCGUGGCCAUACACCACUGUUAUUUUUAUUGUAACUGAUCUAAAUAAAGAAGGAUAAACGUGUUUUCAA